rnacentral:rRNA from 1 species
GCGCACCAGGCGCGAAAACUCCGCAAUGCGCGAAAGCGUGACGGGGUCACCCCGAGUGCCGUCCGCUGAGGAUGGCUUUUGCCUGGUCUAACCAGCCGGGUGAAUAAGGGGAGGGCAAGUCUGGUGUCAGCCGCCGCGGUAAUACCAGCUCCCCGAGUGGUUGGGACGAUUAUUGGGUCUGAAGCGUCCGUAGCCGGCCGGAAAAGUUCCCCGUUAAAUCUGGCGAUCCAAUCGUUGGGCUGCGGGGAAUACUCUUCGGCUUGGGGGCGAGGGAGGUCGGCGGUAGUGCCGGGGUAGGGGCGAAAUCCUAUAAUCCCGGGAGGACCACCAGUGGCGAAGGCGGAGCGCCAGAGCACGCCCGACGGUGAGGGACGAAAGCUAGGGGAGCGAACGGGAUUAGAUAUGAAGUUGAGUUUUUAUCAGCUUCACUAGAUACCCCGGUAGUCC